GAUGAAGAACGUAGCGAAAUGCGAUAAGUAAUGUGAAUUGCAGAAUUCAGUGAACCAUCGAAUCUUUGAACGCACAUUGCGCCCGGCAGUAAUCUGCCGGGCAUGCCUGUCCGAGCGUCAUUUCUCCCCUCGAGCGCAGCUUUCCCCCCCGGGGGAGGGCCGCGCCCGGUGUUGGGGCGCUACGGAGGAGCCCAGCGCUCCCCCGUAGGCCCCGAAAUGUAGUGGCGGUCCCGCCGCGGCGCCCCCUGCGUAGUAGUUUUACAACUCGCAUCGGGUCCCGGCGGAGGCCAGCCGUCAAACCCCCCAACUUCAAUAGUUUGACCUCGGAUCAGGUAGGGUUACCGCUGAACUUAAGCAUAUCAAUAAGCGGAGGA
rnacentral:misc_RNA from 1 species